rfam:Populus trichocarpa scaffold_136_contig_3, whole genome shotgun sequence.
UCUAUAACUCAAGAUAUAGCUCAAACACCGAACAGUGUCUGGGCUGUAAGUAAGACAGAUUCAAACUUCUUAUUUGCUGCUACGAUUUGAACUCUAAAACGACCCUUUUGAAUCUUAGACUCUGUUUGAAAGUUUUAGGCCUAUGUUUUAGCUUUCUAUC